rnacentral:rRNA from 1 species
GAUGAACGCUGGCGGCGUGCCUAAUACAUGCAAGUCGAGCGAACAGACGAGGAGCUUGCUCCUCUGACGUUAGCGGCGGACGGGUGAGUAACACGUGGAUAACCUACCUAUAAGACUGGGAUAACUUCGGGAAACCAGAGCUAAUACCGGAUAACAUGUUGAACCGCAUGGUUCAACAGUGAAAGACGGUCUUGCUGUCACUUAUAGAUGGAUCCGCGCCGCAUUAGCUAGUUGGUAAGGUAACGGCUUACCAAGGCAACGAUGCGUAGCCGACCUGAGAGGGUGAUCGGCCACACUGGAACUGAGACACGGUCCAGACUCCUACGGGAGGCAGCAGUAGGGAAUCUUCCGCAAUGGGCGAAAUCCUGACGGAGCAACGCCGCGUGAGUGAAGAAGGUCUUCGGAUCGUAAAACUCUGUUAUUAGGGAAGAACAAAUGUGUAAGUAACUAUGCACGUCUUGACGGUACCUAAUCAGAAAGCCACGGCUAACUACGUG